GACGAACGCUGGCGGCGUGCUUAACACAUGCAAGUCGAACGAUGAAGCCGGGGCUUGCUCUGGUGAAUUAGUGGCGAACGGGUGAGUAACACGUAAGUAACCUGCCCUUGACUCUGGGAUAACUGCUAGAAAUGGUAGCUAAUACCGGAUACGACCCUCGGAGGCAUCUCCAGGGGGUGGAAAGAAUUUCGGUCAAGGAUGGACUCGCGGCCUAUCAGCUAGUUGGUGAGGUAAUGGCUCACCAAGGCGACGACGGGUAGCCGGCCUGAGAGGGUGACCGGCCACACUGGGACGGGGACACGGCCCAGACUCCUACGGGAGGCAGCAGUGGGGAAUAUUGCACAAUGGGCGCAAGCCUGAUGCAGCAACGCCGCGUGAGGGAUGACGGCCUUCGGGUUGUAAACCUCUUUUAGUAGGGAAGAAGCGAAAGUGACGGUACCUGCAGAAAAAGCACCGGCUAACUACGUGCCAGCCGCCGCCGUAA
rnacentral:rRNA from 1 species